rnacentral:lncRNA from 1 species
AAUCUGAUGGGGGACGCUGAGUGUCAUGAGCUCCUGUAAUGGGGCCUGAUCAACACUGGGAGGUUGGCAGAGGUUUCCCCAGGGAGGGGACAUGGGCGCUGAGGUCUGGAGGGUGAAUAGGUGAUUCACUAGCUGAAGAGGAAAAGGUUCAGGUACGGUGGCUCACGCCUGUAAUCCCAGCACUUUGGGAGGCUGAGGCGGCUGGAUCACUGGAGGUCAAGAGUUCGAGACCGAAACCAGCCUGGCCAACUUGGUGAAACCCCAUCUCUACUAAAAAUACAAAAAUUAGCCAGGCGUGGUGGCAGGUGCCUGUAAUCCCAGCUACUCGAGAGGCUGAGAGAGGAGAAUCGCCUGGGCAACAGAGUGAGACUCUGUCUCAAAAAUAAAAAAAAAAAGAGGGAAGAGUAUUCCAAGUAGAGGGAACAGCACAUGCAAAUGCUCAGAGGCAGAAAGGAGCGUCAUGCGUACAGAAGAGGGAGAGAGCGUGGGGGUGGCUGGGGCAGUCUGCUGCAAUGCAGGUGGACCUGGGUGACUUGGAGGUGUGCGGGGAGUUUCAUUUUCAUCCUAAUAAUGAGAGCUACGGGAGGGUUUAAACCAAGAUGAGUAUGAUGGAAGGAACUAGCAGCAAUUUCUUACCUAUUCUCUGCAGUUUAAAAAACUGUAAUUGAGCUGGGCAUGAGCCAGUGCGCCUGGCCCUGGCCU